CUGCAACCCAACAAUUGCUCCAUGAUUAAAAGGGAUUGCGUUUGCAGCAGCAGCAUGAUGCUGCUGCAUUCACAAGUCCAAUCCAAUCGUUGCAGUGUGAGGAAGAAAAGAGAGGCAGUGUAGUGUACUGCUGGCCCAGUCAGUGGUAGAUCCAAUCAAAAGCUUUUUCCCAAACAAAGUCGAUGGCAAUAUUGGCAUGGCAGCAUGGGCCCCUGGGCUAAGCACUCACAAGCAUAGAUAGAUGUGGAAAUAGGCGGUUACCCAGUUCAAGGCUCACUAGUGGUAGUACACAACACCAAUGUCACAUUGUUUCAAGUUAAUGUUCAGCAAAAAGCAAAUGACCACCAAACAAAGCAGCUCUCAAAAGACUACAACAUCCUGGACUCCCAACAUAUGAGCACACAAACAGGCGAUGUGCCAUACCAAACUCAUGGCAAGCACACUUAGCAAUAAUACAACACGCCGCUUAGGGCUUCGGUUUAAUUGAAACAGCUUGGUUGGACCAGGAAGGAAGAUGGAGACUGACUAGAAUUGGAGGUGCUGUGGAGAUCAUGCAGCUAUCCCAUUUCGUUGGUUCAAAGUUCUGUCAGUCGCUGCGGGCAGGGGAAACAUCGGCGGACCUAGAGCGGGAUCCUGGAGGCGACCCUGAGGAGUGCCUAGGAGACCUCCGGUGUGGAGGGGAUCCAUCGCUGUCAGGUGGGGGCGACCUCCUGUGAAGAACAUAAACCAUAGUUAGCACUUUCACUCUAUGUAUUCCUGUUAAUUAAUACAGAAUAAGACUAACAAAAUCUGUCGUGAGUAUGCAGCAAAGAUUAAAAUGCUGCCCAUAGUUCAAGUGACCCUAAGGCCCACAUCCUUUCAUAUUCAUCAUACUUUACAAGUCUACAGAAGGUUACUACUCGUAAAACACCAGAUUGGUGUGUAAAUGGCCCUAUUGCAAUAAUGAAAACAAAUAUUGCAUUUAAGGAAAAAGUGAUGGAAGUAUGAAAUACUAUGCUUACUUCUCAUAACCGUUAUCAGCAUCGCGAGGGUCGCCAUCUCUACUGGCAGGAGAGUAGGAUCUCCGCUUCUUCUCUUCAUCAUGUUCUUUUGGCUGACGCCUAGGAGAUUUUGUGGGGUGCGUAUCCUUUCUCGGUGGGGAAGCUGAGUAGUCAUCUCGCCGUCUUGGAGCAGGAGAGUAUGACCUUUUAAAAGCGACCGGAUUCAUGAGUACAAGGUGAAUGGCUUGAGGAUUGAUAUAUGGACAUUAUUCAUCUACCUUGACCGUGGACGACCUCGAUAGUGGGGAGAGCGAGAACGGGAACGAGACCUCCCUGUAUGAAACAAUAAAGCCUAUCAGUAAUUUUGGUGUGGCAACAAAAGGAAUUAGCAAACAGAACUUUUCAGAAGAAACUCGAGAAAAACUGAAGGAAUUUUGUUGUGAUAAGACGAGAGCAUAUUUCCUCAGUACAGUUAAAAAAGGCAUAGAUUUAUAGAUAUGCAUUUUGAAAGGCCUUAUCACAAAUAAUGACUAAUGCUAAAAAUACCAUAAUAUGAAGAGCGGCGCCCUUCGUUUCCAGAGUAACCCCUGCAAAUCAAGCACACAAUGACAUAACGUUAAUGCAAACGACAUAACUUUUUUUUUCAAAAAAAAACAUACCGUUUAGCAGUUUCAAAAAAAAACGAGGGAGGAGAGUUGGAACCUCAAGCAGGAACUCAGUCUUUUUCAAAUCGCUAAACAGUUCGGUUUUGGCACUAGUAAAUUAUAUAUGAAGUUGCUUGAGAAAAUUAUAUUAAUAUAUUUUCAGGGUUUUUUAAUCCAAUACUUUAAUUAGUUAUGUGCUAGUGACUCGUCCCAUUUUACGUACGGCAGAAGAGGAGAUCCCAACCAUUCCAAAUGGAUGCAUCCUAAGUAAUGCAGUAAACUUCAUUAUAUGAAGACCACUAUUAAUUUCGUAUGAACUACCAUGAAUAUAUGUUCAGAUUCACAUCAUUUUCAAAUUAAACGGCAGGGAUUCUAAGAAAAUAAAAGCAUUUUUCAGCUGGCCGAUGAACUAAAGAACACAACUAAAGCAAAUGAGCAGUAGUAGAAAAGAAGACACGCAACGGGACCAGAUAGAUACAUGUACUAGCACUAAAUUAGAUUGAGCAGAGGGGUUAGAUAUUGUUAUUAGAUCGAGGACCGAAUCUAUGAUUAAACAUCAACCUUUGCAAGUAUCAAUCGAGAUCAAAUUAAGCUAGUACUCCAAUGGACGGACCCCUCUAACCAACUCUCUCAUCUUUCGUUCCCUAGAAAACAAGAGGACACGCUACCACCAUAAUUCGUCAAACUGUUUUGUGUAGAGUUACCGUCACUCUAUAGUUUGACGGUUAUUACGGUAACCGCACGGUUACGGUUACAACAAAGUAUGCCGUGGUUUAAAAAACUGAGAAUGUUACGUAAUAAUAAGAUGGUUUUGUAAACCCUGGCUACCACCAAAGAUUGAUCCAUACACGCGCAGUAGUAACCUUGGAUCCCCCAACGCAUCAGGUCAGCUGAUAUAGAGAUCCAUCGAUUGAUCACUCAUCACAUCACUGGCUGUGGUUUGCUACAGUCCACGACCGACAGAUGCAUCCGGGCCGCACGUCGUGUCGAUCCAACGGCGCAGAUCGAUGCAGCUGGCUGAAUGUCCAUACUGUAGUAGUACUGUCGACUACUGUACAUGUACACUCGAUUCGAUGCUUCUCGUGUUGAUGCGUAUCAGAAGAGAUCACACCAAAUCAGCAAGAAGCCAGCAGAGGAAGGAGGAGGAGGGAGGACGUGUAGUAGUGCAGGUCACAAGUGGUCGCUGCUGCCGCCUGCAGCUGCUGCAUAUGCAUUGGUGCUCUGCGCCUCUGCAUCUUCUUCCCUCCCCGGGUAAACCGGACGCGUCUCCCCUCGGAGGGUGAAAAAAUUCAAAUCCUUUUUUUUCCUCAUUUUAGGCUGUGUUUAGUUCAGCACAAAAUUUAGAUUUUGGUUGAAAUUGGAGAUGAUGUGACUAAAAAGUUGUGUGUAUAACAGGUUGAUGUGAUGGAAAAUGACUGAAGUUUGGAUCUAAACUUUGGAUCUAAACACAGCCUUAGUAUUGUACUACUACUACGUGAACUUCUUCAAAAAUGAUCAAAAUGGAGACAAACCCAAACCCUUAACCAUAUUAGAGUUUGUUUGGUUAAUUCGGCUGCGUUUAGCUAGACUAGCUACCGUAGCCUGCAGCAGUUGUGAAUGGUUGCAACUGACAGCCGAUUUGAAUUGCCGCAGCCGUAGCAAGUGCCUCCGAACAAAGCCUUCAUAGGAGUAAUAGAUUGGAGGGGAUAGUGAGAAGUGUAUAAUCAAUAUCCUUCAAAUCCCCUUGAGAUAGGGUUUAAUCGAACAAAACCUUAGAUAAUGAUAGGUCAAUUCAUCCACCUGUGGAUGCACCUUCAACGAGAAUAAAAACAACACUUAAGUGGUGAGAAAUGUGCGUUGGUAUCAGUGGUAUGGUUUCGCAAUAGUCACACCCAUAUCCUAAAUGGAUAGCAUACAGUACCUUCUCCCUUUAAAUUAUGACGUUGGUUUGUUCAAAAUUGAAUUCGUCAAUGUCAUACAAAAGAUAUAGAAGGGAAUAUAUAUUAUGACAUGUUGUAAAUUGUUAUGUGACAAACUGGCAAAUGGCAAUGGCCUUUUGUUCUCCACAGUCCUAUUGGUUGUAUGAAGCAUGAACAUGCAUUAGUAUAAAGUAGAAUCUAGAAUAGUUUAUACACCUUUUAAAUUAAGUGGUGAACUUGUGGAAUUGGAUACACUAUAAUGGAAUUGGAUACACCAUUUUCAAAGAAAUGAGUUAGGGUCCUCAUACAAUAGGAGCUUAUUAAGGAUGAUGAACCAAUAAGGUUAAAGAAAUGAGAUAAAGAGAAGUCUUUCUCAUGUAGCGACAACAAUUGAAUGGUCACAUAUACAUACUAUUGGUUGUAUGAAGCAUGAACAUGCAUUAGUAUAAAGUAGAAUCUAGAAUAGUUUAUACACCUUUUAAAUUAAGUGGUGAACUUGUGGAAUUGGAUACACUAUAAUGGUUAAAUUUGCACUUCAAUUUAUAUAUAUGUGUGUGCUCUUUAUUUUUGUUAACUUAAACUAUUGAUUGUUCAUAUGUGCUAUACUUUAUCCAGUUGUUUCUAUUUGCAUGGUCUAGGUCACCCAUCGAGUGUAUUUUACCCACCUACUCCUUUCAUAAAAAAAAACAACAUAGACAAGGAUAUGAUAUAAUAUAGGACUGGACAUGUUCGUUGUCCUAUGUUAUAUCAAGUCAUUGGUUAGGUUUUUUUUUUACGGAGGGAGUAGGUGUGGGCAAGGUUGGAAAUUUCGGACUUUGAUUUCUGAAAUUUCAGUCAUUUUGGACCCCUCCGUUACGAUAUUAUUUUGGCCAAAAUAUUUAAAAAGUUUUAACUUUUCGUGAAUUUUAGUAAUAUUUAUUCAAAAAUUCCUAAUUUUCGGUCUACCGGUGACCUCCGAUACAAUCGGUCAAGCCGAAAAGUUAAACCCUAGGUGUGGGUUGAGGGAAAAAAAACCUAUAACCGUGUGAUUUGCGUCCUCGAGGGAAAGGCUACUUGAUUAUGAUCGGUGUAGACCAAGGUUUAAUGUAGUAUUGGUUAGGCUAUUUCUAUCGGAGAAAACCGAUAGGACUGAAUUUUGUAAAAUUUUAGAAUAUUUGAAUAUAAAAUUUGAUUGAAUCUAGUACAUUUCGUGAGAUCCAUAAAAAAUAAAAGAAAAGGUCUGCAAAUUUUAGAUGCAACAGUUUUUUUUAGGGGGGGGGGGGGGUUGGUGGGUCUGAUACACCCGAUCAUUGCCAUCGGACAGCUCCUAGAUUAAUCGUUACCCAGCAUGCUAAUGAGUAUGCUAUGCUGCUACUCCGAGAAAUACACUACGACUCUACGAGUACCAGUACUCAUGCAGUAUAUAUAUCCUGUUGCAUGAUGGAUCGAUCAACGAUGGUCGUCAGGGCGAUGAACCGUUGCCACUUUUAAUUCUCAGCCGAAAGAUGAGACAGCAGUCAGCAGCGGACAGAUAGACAGAUUUGUCAACUUUUCAGGCCGGCCACCACAACAAAGCCCACGUAUCUGCAGUGCCUGCAAUCAAGCAACACAACACAAACCCAACCACGCACAAAAAGCAGUACACUUUCUGCGUGACACAUCCUACCAACCCCUGCCUUUCACUGCUGCAUCAUGAAAGUAAAAAUAAAUAAAUAAAUACUCCCUCCGUUUUGAAAUGUUUGACGGUCGUUAACUUUUUAGCACAUGUUUGACCGUUCGUCUUAUUCAAAAAAAAAUUAAGUAAUUAUUAAUUCUUUUCCUAUCAUUUGUUUCAUUGUUAAAUAUAUUUUUAUAUAGACAUAUAAUUUUAUAUAUUUCACAAAAGUUUUUGAAUAAGACGAACGAUCAAACAUGUGCUAAAAAGUCAACAAUGUCAAACAUUUAGGGAGUAAAUUGCAAACAUUGACAACAACCAUGGAAGCAAUGCACGCCAUGGAUCGAUCACCUGCAACCCAACAAUUGCUCCAUGAUUAAAAGGGAUUGCGUUUGCAGCAGCAGCAUGAUGCUGCUGCAUUCACAAGUCCAAUCCAAUCGUUGCAGUGUGAGGAAGAAAAGAGAGGCAGUGUAGUGUACUGCUGGCCCAGUCAGUGGUAGAUCCAAUCAAAAGCUUUUUCCCAAACAAAGUCGAUGGCAAUAUUGGCAUGGCAGCAUGGGCCCCUGGGCUAAGCACUCACAAGCAUAGAUAGAUGUGGAAAUAGGCGGUUACCCAGUUCAAGGCUCACUAGUGGUAGUACACAACACCAAUGUCACAUUGUUUCAAGUUAAUGUUCAGCAAAAAGCAAAUGACCACCAAACAAAGCAGCUCUCAAAAGACUACAACAUCCUGGACUCCCAACAUAUGAGCACACAAACAGGCGAUGUGCCAUACCAAACUCAUGGCAAGCACACUUAGCAAUAAUACAACACGCCGCUUAGGGCUUCGGUUUAAUUGAAACAGCUUGGUUGGACCAGGAAGGAAGAUGGAGACUGACUAGAAUUGGAGGUGCUGUGGAGAUCAUGCAGCUAUCCCAUUUCGUUGGUUCAAAGUUCUGUCAGUCGCUGCGGGCAGGGGAAACAUCGGCGGACCUAGAGCGGGAUCCUGGAGGCGACCCUGAGGAGUGCCUAGGAGACCUCCGGUGUGGAGGGGAUCCAUCGCUGUCAGGUGGGGGCGACCUCCUGUGAAGAACAUAAACCAUAGUUAGCACUUUCACUCUAUGUAUUCCUGUUAAUUAAUACAGAAUAAGACUAACAAAAUCUGUCGUGAGUAUGCAGCAAAGAUUAAAAUGCUGCCCAUAGUUCAAGUGACCCUAAGGCCCACAUCCUUUCAUAUUCAUCAUACUUUACAAGUCUACAGAAGGUUACUACUCGUAAAACACCAGAUUGGUGUGUAAAUGGCCCUAUUGCAAUAAUGAAAACAAAUAUUGCAUUUAAGGAAAAAGUGAUGGAAGUAUGAAAUACUAUGCUUACUUCUCAUAACCGUUAUCAGCAUCGCGAGGGUCG
rnacentral:lncRNA from 1 species